GAUGAACGCUGGCGGCGUGCCUAAUACAUGCAAGUCGAGCGAACGGACGAGAAGCUUGCUUCUCUGAUGUUAGCGGCGGACGGGUGAGUAACACGUGGAUAACCUACCUAUAGACUGGGAUAACUUCGGGAAACCGGAGCUAAUACCGGAUGAUAUUUUGAACCGCAUGGUUCAAAAGUGAAAGACGGUCUUGCUGUCACUUAUAGAUGGAUCCGCGCUGCAUUAGCUAGUUGGUAAGGUAACGGCUUACCAAGGCAACGAUGCAUAGCCGACCUGAGAGGGUGAUCGGCCACACUGGAACUGAGACACGGUCCAGACUCCUACGGGAGGCAGCAGUAGGGAAUCUUCCGCAAUGGGCGAAAGCCUGACGGAGCAACGCCGCGUGAGUGAUGAAGGUCUUCGGAUCGUAAAACUCUGUUAUUAGGGAAGAACAUAUGUGUAAGUAACUGUGCACAUCUUGACGGUACCUAGUCAGAAAGCCACGGCUAACUACGUG
rnacentral:rRNA from 1 species